CUACGAUUUGAUUCGACCAAUACGAAACCGAGUUCUUCGGUGGUAAGUUGAGGUUGACAAAGCUGUUGUUGAACGGGCUCAAACGCUACAGCAUUUACACUAUUUAUUAGUUCAAAUACACCUGCAGGGUAAUACAGCAAUACUCUAACCAAAAUAACGAUGACUGGAUCAAAUGAGUUUAAACUGAACCAGGGUCCGGAGGACAGCAUUUCGGCGGUGAAGUUCAGCCCUAGCACAGCACAGUUCUUGCUGGUGUCCUCUUGGGACUCAACUGUCCGUCUCUUCGAUGUUGGGGGAAACUCCAUGAGAAUGAAGUACCAGCACCUGGCACCUGUGCUCGAUUGUGCUUUUUAUGAUCCCACGCAUGCCUGGAGUGGGGGCCUGGAUAUGCAGUUGAAAACACAUGACUUAAAUACUGACCAAGAUACAAUAGUGGGAACGCACGAUGCCGCAAUUCGUUGUGUGGAAUACUGCCCGGAAGUGAACGUCAUGGUAACGGGCAGCUGGGAUAGGUCGGUGCGACUGUGGGACCCAAGGACGCCCUGUAAUGCUGGCACCUUCACUCAGCCUGAAAAGGUCUACACGCUGUCUGUGGCAGGAGACCGGCUGAUUGUGGGUACGGCGGGUAGGAGGGUUCUGGUUUGGGAUCUGAGGAACAUGGGAUACGUCCAGCAGAGGAGGGAGUCCAGCCUGAAGUACCAGACUCGCUGCAUCCGAGCCUUUCCCAACAAGCAGGGCUAUGUCCUGAGCUCCAUCGAAGGCCGGGUCGCUGUAGAGUACCUGGACCCCAGCCUGGAAGUGCAGAAGAAGAAAUACGCCUUCAAGUGUCACAGGCUGAAGGAGAACGGCAUCGAGCAGGUCUACCCCGUCAACGCCAUCUCCUUCCACAGUGUCCACAACACCUUUGCCACAGGCGGUUCCGACGGGUUCGUGAACAUCUGGGACCCCUUCAACAAGAAGCGUCUGUGCCAGUUCCACCGCUACCCGACCAGCAUCGCCUCGCUGGCCUUCAGCAACGACGGCUCCACGCUGGCCAUCGCCUCCUCGUACAUGCAGGAGCAGGGCGACAUCAGCCACCCCGAGGACGCCAUCUUCAUCCGCCAGGUCACCGACGCCGAGACCAAGCCCAAGUGAGCCUCGCCUCCCCCAGGUCCCCGCGCCCUCCGCAACCUCCUCAACCUCCUUAGGGUCAACCUGAACCCCUCCCAGAAGCCGCUCUUCAGGCCACGUUGCCCUGAACACCAGGCGGAGGUGUGCAUCUCUUGGGGAAUAUCUGCUGGCAUCCAGUUGAACAUAAAUCCUACUCCCUUUAUCCCUUCCUCCUAUAUAGUCACUCUGUUUUUCUACUUGUAUUUCUGAAAAGGAAGUGUUACAUACACUCAUCCACUCUCUUGCUAAUUAUUUUGCUUUAUAUUCUGAAUUUUCUAACUUUUGUAAUGUGAUCGUUGUUAAUGUGCUUUACAACCUCUCAAAUGUAUAAUCUGCUCAACACUCUUCACGUGACAUUUUCCUCUUUUUGUAUCAACCAUUUUUAAAAAGGACCUCUUGUAUAGUUUAUGCUUGGCAUGAAAAAAUGUUUUUUAAAUGGCAUCUUUCAGUAUUGGUACAUCUUCUGUUCAGCUAUAUCAGUACUGCUCUUAAACAUAGAAGUAUUGUCGCCAAUUAUAAAUUAAAGUUGCCGUUUUUGCAAAAGUGUUUCUGCUAAAACGGCAGUAUUAAUUUUUUUCUUUCUUUUUCUUAUAAGCAAAACUUGGGCCAAUGUUGUAAUUUGUAUUGAAGUAACAUUUUUUUUUCCAAAAGAUCACGUGCCAUCUUUUAAAAUAAAAACUAAAAUGUGUAUAA